rnacentral:rRNA from 1 species
AUUGAACGCUGGCGGCAGGCCUAACACAUGCAAGUCGAACGGUAACAGGAAGAAGCUUGCUUCUUUGCUGACGAGUGGCGGACGGGUGAGUAAUGUCUGGGAAACUGCCUGAUGGAGGGGGAUAACUACUGGAAACGGUAGCUAAUACCGCAUAACGUCGCAAGACCAAAGAGGGGGACCUUCAGGCCUCUUGCCAUCGGAUGUGCCCAGAUGGGAUUAGCUAGUAGGUGGGGUAACGGCUCACCUAGGCGACGAUCCCUAGCUGGUCUGAGAGGAUGACCAGCCACACUGGAACUGAGACACGGUCCAGACUCCUACGGGAGGCAGCAGUGGGGAAUAUUGCACAAUGGGCGCAAGCCUGAUGCAGCCAUGCCGCGUGUAUGAAGAAGGCCUUCGGGUUGUAAAGUACUUUCAGCGGGGAGGAAGGGAGUAAAGUUAAUACCUUUGCUCAUUGACGUUACCCGCAGAAGAAGCACCGGCUAACUCCGUG